UACGAAGGGGGCUAGCGUUGCUCGGAAUCACUGGGCGUAAAGCGCACGUAGGCGGCUUUUUAAGUCAGAGGUGAAAUCCUGGAGCUCAACUCCAGAACUGCCUUUGAUACUGGAGAGCUUGAGUCCGGGAGAGGUGAGUGGAACUGCGAGUGUAGAGGUGAAAUUCGUAGAUAUUCGCAAGAACACCAGUGGCGAAGGCGGCUCACUGGCCCGGUACUGACGCUGAGGUGCGAAAGCUGGGGGAGCAAACAGG
rnacentral:rRNA from 1 species